UAAGCGGAGGAAAAGAAACUAACAAGGAUUCCCCUAGUAACGGCGAGUGAAGCGGGAAGAGCUCAAAUUUGAAAUCUGGCAGUCUUCGAUUGUCCGAGUUGUAAUCUAUAGAGGCGUUUUCCGUGCCGGACCGUGUCCAAGUCUCCUGGAAAGGAGUAUCAAAGAGGGUGAUAAUCCCGUACUUAACACGACCACCGGUGCUCUGUGAUACGUCUUCUACGAGUCGAGUUGUUUGGGAAUGCAGCUCAAAAUGGGUGGUGAAUUCCAUCUAAAGCUAAAUAUUGGCGAGAGACCGAUAGCGAACAAGUACCGUGAGGGAAAGAUGAAAAGCACUUUGGAAAGAGAGUUAAACAGUACGUGAAAUUGUUGAAAGGGAAACGAUUGAAGUCAGUCGUGUUCUUUGGAUUCAGCCAGUUCUGCUGGUCUACUUCCUUGGAACGGGUCAACAUCAGUUUUGUCCGGUGGAUAAAGGUAGUAGGAAUGUGACUUCUCCGGAAGUGUUAUAGCCUAUUAUCACAUACACUGGGUGAGACUGAGGACUGCAGCUCGCCUUUAUGGCCGGCCUUCGGGCACGUUCGAGCU
rnacentral:rRNA from 1 species